UCUGAUCAUAAUUUUGAGUUGUGUAUAUAACAGAUUUACAGAAAUUCAUUUCAUUUCUUUUUAAUUGUUUUUGUAUUUGUAUGUUUGUACAUUUUUCUGUUAAUAUAUCCAUUAUAUGUUGUGUUCUAUGUCCUAUUGUCCAUUUUAAAUUCGGGUUAGCAACUACCCCAUCUCUCUUAUACCAUCUAUCUUCUAUUUCUCUUCCUAAGGCUUCAGGUAAUUUAUUGAACAAUUUUUU
rnacentral:lncRNA from 1 species